rnacentral:rRNA from 1 species
CCUACGGGUGGCAGCAGUGAGGAAUAUUGGUCAAUGGGCUUACGCCUGAACCAGCCAAGUCGCGUGAGGGAAGACUGCCCUAUGGGUUGUAAACCUCUUUUGUCAGGGAGCAACGCCGGCUACGUGUAGCCGGACUGAGAGUACCUGAAGAAAAAGCAUCGGCUAACUCCGUGCCAGCAGCCGCGGUAAUACGGAGGAUGCGAGCGUUAUCCGGAUUGAUUGGGUUGAAAGGGUGCGUAGGCGGAAUGCCAAGUCAGCGGUAAAAUCGCGGGGCUCAACCUCGCUCCGCCGUUGAAACUGGCGUUCUUGAGUGGGCGAGAAGUAUGCUGAAUGCGUGGUGUAGCGGUGAAAUGCAUAGAUAUCACGCAGAACUCCGAUUGCGAAGGCAGCGUACCGGCGCCCAACUGACGCUGAAGCACGAAAGCGUGGGUAUCGAACAGGAUUAGAUACCCUUGUAGUC